rnacentral:lncRNA from 1 species
GCUAUGUUUGAUAAUAUUAAGCGCUGAAUGCUGAAUGCUGAAUACGCAUCUGAAUGACUAAGAGUUACGCCUGGAUACUGAAUGCUGAAUCAUUAAGCUCAUUUGAUAGCUGAAGUUCUGUCGUCUGAAUAAUAUUAUUUUACUUUUAUAUCCUUGGUCAAAUACUGUAAUAUUUGUUAAUGAGUAACAUAUAUGUAUAAAUAU